AUGUGGGUGUUUGUUUACCCCUCAUCUGGAAGGUAGACACCCCUACCUGAACAAGCUGGUUGGUUAUAUCACAAACUACACCUGGCACUUCUGGCAAGGCAGCACUAACCAGCACAAGGUUUCCAUAAGCCGGGAAGAGUUGGGACCCUUGCUGAAGAUCCUGGGGGCAGUGUAUCAGAUGUUGCUUAUAAACUUCCUGUAGGAAAAGAGAAGAAAGUAAAACAUAACUCGACUUCAGAGAGACAGAAGGUUGCAAGAACUACUACAGUCAUUUUUUUUAUCCAUUCACUGUUUUGCUGUACACUGGAACACAUGACAAUUCUAAUUAUGUUGGACCUGCACCUCUGGAAAAUACUGCUGAACAGAUGUUUAAUGCAGCUUGUCCAAGUGGAAGAAAUACAGAACAUCUUUUGAAAAUUUCAGAUUCUAUUAAGAAAUUUGUGCCAGUAGAUGGAGAGGAGCAUCUUUUCUCUUUGGAAAAUUUAGUAAAGGAA
rnacentral:lncRNA from 1 species